rnacentral:rRNA from 1 species
CCGGUCACCUUCGGGUGACUGGUACACGAGUGGCGCACGGGUGAGUAACGCGUGGGCAACCUGCCCUCGGGUCUGGGACAACUCCGAGAAACUGGAGCUAAUACCGGAUGAGACCACGAGGUCCUCGGACUUCGCGGAAAAAGGUGGCCUCUCCUUGGAAGCUACCGCCCGUCGAUGGGCCCGCGUCCCAUUAGCUUGUUGGUGAGGUAACAGCUCACCAAGGCUCCGAUGGGUAGCUGGUCUGAGAGGAUGAUCAGCCACACUGGAACUGAGACACGGUCCAGACUCCUACGGGAGGCAGCAGUCGGGAAUUUUGGGCAAUGGGGGCAACCCUGACCCAGCAACGCCGCGUGAGGGAUGAAGGCCUUCGGGUCGUAAACCUCUGUCGGGAGGGAAGAAAGGUCAACGUUCGAAUAGGGCGGGGGCUUGACGGUACCUCCAAAGGAAGCGCCGGCUAACUCCGUGCCAGCAGCCGCGGUAAUACGGAGGGCGCGAGCGUUGUUCGGAAUCAUUGGGCGUAAAGCGCGUGUAGGCGGCUUGGCAAGUCGGAUGUGAAAGCCCGGGGCCCAACCCCGGAACUGCAUUCGAAACUGCCUCGCUCGAGUCC